rnacentral:rRNA from 1 species
UACGAAGGGGGCUAGCGUUGCUCGGAAUUACUGGGCGUAAAGGGCGCGUAGGCGGAUACUUAAGUCGGGGGUGAAAGCCCGGGGCUCAACCUCGGAAUUGCCUUCGAUACUGGGUAUCUUGAGUUCGGGAGAGGUGAGUGGAAUGCCGAGUGUAGAGGUGAAAUUCGUAGAUAUUCGGCGGAACACCAGUGGCGAAGGCGACUCACUGGCCCGAUACUGACGCUCAGGCGCGACAGCGUGGGGAUCAAACAGG